rnacentral:tRNA from 1 species
UAGCUCAGUUGGUAGAGCGCCCGCCUUGCACGCGGAAGGUCAGGGGUUCGAAUCCCCU